GAUUCUUAAGCUUGUGGUAGUUCUUCGGAUAGUUGAAGCAAGACACCGAGGUUAGACUAUGCAUAGCUGCAACCUUUGUCGCAGGCAACAACAGCUUUGCAUCAAGGGAAGCCAAACAUAUCGAAAAAGCCUGGUACAUACUCAACAACAGCAAGAGGCUGCUUUGAAUUUGGUUGAUUACUUUUGGAUUUGGAAUUAGGACAAUGUUUCUGAUCCCAAAUGUUGUAUUUUGAGCCGGUGAGGUUCGUUGUUACUGUCCCGAGGAAAGUUUCGUCGGAAUAAAAGAGCUAUGGUUGAUUUGCUGCUACUAUGCAUGUUGAUCCGUCAUGAAAGUUUUGCAGGUUUGAGGUUUUGGCCAGGUGACAUGGUGGACCAGGAAC